CCUGGCUUUUCAGAAACCGGCUCUGCUUAACCGCAGAUUAAAAGGGAAUCGUGUGAGAAUCACGAACUGUCGCGCAACUGUAAGUAACUGAAGUCUUUAUUAAGAAUCCACUGUCUUAUUCCAUAAGAUGGGAAGGAAAUAAAGAUGUUACAAGUCAGGAGACCUGCCUCUUUCUUAUAUACAAA
rnacentral:ncRNA from 2 species